GGGCCCGCGGCGGGAGCCGGGCGGCGGCCGGAGGAGAUGGACAAACUGACCGUCAUCUCAGGAUGCCUCUUCCUGGCCGCGGACAUCUUCGCCAUCGCCAGCCUGGCCAACCCCGACUGGAUCAACACCGGCGAGUCUGCGGGUGCUCUCACAGUUGGCCUUGUGCGACAGUGUCAAACCAUCCAUGGACGUGACAGGACCUGUAUUCCUCCACGGCUGCCUCCUGAGUGGGUCACUACGUUAUUUUUCAUCAUAAUGGGAAUCAUUUCACUAACUGUCACAUGUGGUUUGCUGGUGGCUUCCCACUGGCGAAGAGAAGCUACUAAAUAUGCCCGCUGGAUAGCUUUCACUGGAAGUGAUUUCAAGACUGAACAGCCCAGUACAGGCGGCUAGCAGAUACUCUCCUCGCAGAACUUUCAGAACAUGACAUAGGAUGUGCUGUCCUAAGUGGCAGUGAAGUCUGCUGGGAUUGCUAAAGGCAUCUCUGGGACUGGCAGCUCUGUUCUCUUCAAAUGCAAGGGGGGUCUAGAUGAAAUCAUCUAACGACAAAGGAAUCUCUUGCUCAGCCCUUUCCUUGCAACUCUGCCAGCAGCAAGGAGAGCCAGGCAGGAGGUCAUUCUUGCCUUGCUUGUGCUGGAAUUUGACCCCAAUGGGUUAAGUCAGUUUGUUGCAGAUCCCCUCUAGCUACCUUCUGUCCAAGGUGGUGAAAUGCAGUCCAGAGAAGUUAUGAGAAAGUCUCGUUCUUAUCCAUAGGUGGUAUCUGAAAUACCUCUGUUUUUGAGGAAGAAGAUGAAGACCUCCCUUGCAGAAGAGAAAGGUCUUGGAAGAGCAGCUCCAUGUAGCUGGUUUGACAAUAUAAUGUAGGGAAAAAGAACUUCCUGAUUCUUUUGUCUUGAUUUUUAUGAUAAUCAUAUGAAAGACUCUUAAGGAACUAUUUGAUGUUUUCCUCAAUUGAUAGAAUUCUGUAGAGUAAAUUGGUGCAAACAUCUUCAGCACUUCAUUCCUUUGCUCACUUUACAGAGCACAGUAUGAUAAUUCAGGGAAGAAGAGUCCAGGUCAUAAACUAGUGCUGAUUGCUUGGCAUGCCUAUACCAACACCUUCAAAGAGAAGCAAAGUGAUUCUAUUCUGUAUGGCAGCCCUAAUAUUUCCAAUAGGAUUUUACAUCAAUGAAGUCGGAGGUCAACCAUAUAAAUUACCCAAUA